rnacentral:misc_RNA from 1 species
GUCCAAAAUCAUACUUUACUAGGCUAGUCCAAAUUCUCCAAUAAUUUUUACCAGCCAAUUACAUAAAAACUACUUUGGUGUCAAAACCCUACGAACACUUUCAAUCUCAAAUAUCCAAAUAAACAGCCAUCACAGCAAACGCCUACUGUUCUUUACUCAUUAAAAAGUGACCAACCAAUAUUAAUUCCACAUUAUCAGCAUACUAACUGCAAAUAGAAAGUCGGCAGAAAGUGAAAUUACUAUUUCGGAAGAUCAGGGCUGUACGACUACAAUUAAAUUCAUUUCCUUUACCAAUAUCCGUGAGCAACC